rnacentral:rRNA from 1 species
AAUAAGCUAUUUAAGAGCGUAAGGUGGAUGCCUUGGCUCUCAGAGGCGAUGAAGGACGUGAUAAGCUGCGACAAGCUGCGGGGAUUGGCACACACAAUUUGAUCCGUAGAUUUCCGAAUGGGGCAACCCACUAUAUUGAAGAUAUAGUAUCCGUUAAGGAAGCAAACCCAGGGAACUGAAACAUCUAAGUACCUGGAGGAAUAGAAAACAAAAGUGAUUCCGCUAGUAGUGGCGAGCGAACGCGGAUCAGCCCAAACCAAAAUUGUUUCGGCAAUUUUGGGGUUGUA